AGAAAUAGGGGGGAGGAAAAAAAGUUAAAUAAUUGCUUGCAAGUCACAAAUGUGGCUGCAAAGUUCAUAUUAAGCCCUCCCAGGUGACCAGCAAAUGAAGAGCAAAAGAAAGAGGCACAGCCAGGUAAAUGACAACAUUACCAUACACUUACAUGAUACGUGGUUUUAAUGGCUUUGGGUUGAAGGGAAUUUAAAGAAUAAUUCUCCUUUAGAAAAGGUGGCUACUACGUAGUAGUGGAUCUGACACCUCAUAACUGUACUCUGCUUGGCAGAGAGUGAAGCACUGCUCCACCGAACAAGAGCCACUUAAAGGGAGGAAUCAGCACAACUCAAUGGAUUUCAGAUUGAUCCUCAUUUCAAAGAUACCCCAAAACAUAAGUCUGAGCUGCUAGCAUCCAUUUGACAGAUGAUGAGACAUUGGCUGUCUUAGACAAGAGAAAACAACGUUGGAAUGAAAUCCCUUUUCCUGUUUUCUGUGAUGCUUGAAGAGACAACAGCCCUGGAAUGUAUUUUCAGAGCAUGAGAUGACCCAGAGUUCCACAUCUAGGUGUCGUAGCAGGACUUCUUUGAUGAACCACAACAGAGAGCUUUGCAAAGAUCCUAAAGAUUGAGCAUGUGCCCGUUAGUACCCUACCUGGCAGAGGUCAGUGAUCUGCCUCUUUCCAUAGCUCUGUCCUUAGUAAAUGAUUAAACUUUGUGCUUCAUGGUAAGUGCUGGUGGAAUUUAUAUGGGUUCAAGUGCCCGAGUUUGACUUCUCUUCUUCUCCCUUUUGGAAAAAGGGCUUAAGAUAGGCUUAUAAAACCUGAUGGAAGGCAGCUGUGACAAAUUCUUGGCUGCAGCUAAGGGGAAGAAAGAGGGGAGGCAUAAAGGGCAAAAAGGGUUCUCUUGAUCACUCAGACUGUGGAGACCAGACAAAAUGACUGCAUGGCCCAUAUGGACUAGGUCUAUGGAAACGUUGGGUCGUUCUGAAGAGCAGGAUCUGUUUGUUAAUAUCCUUAAGAGGCCAAGGACUGCUGGGUCUGAGUUUCAGCAGCUGAAGUUGGGGAGCUCCACAACACAUUAAGCAAUUGUGGCUGUCAACAGCCUGGACUUUUCAGACCUCCUGCCUCGCGUAGCCAAAGGGACUCACAGGAGUCACGCAUCUCCCGAGAGGGCCUGGCACUAGAGGGCGAUGCAGACAUGCACUUCUGCCAGCGUUUCCCCUGUUAGGAAACACGGAGGAUUCUAGGAUUCUGACGUUAAUCAAGUUUUUGUAAUAAGGGUGUGCUACUUCUCUACCACCCCCAUUACCUUUCAUACAUUCUCCUAUGAUAGUUCUCUGUGUUUCUGACUUCCUUUACCACCAGCUUCUGCCCUUCAGAGUUGGUGCUCUAGACCUUUGCAUGUAAACUGAAACCAACAUCCAACUCAUGGACAAACACAAUCUCAUUAUUAGUUUUCCUCUUUUUCUCUUCUUCUUUUUUUUUUUUUUUGCUUCUGCCUCUGUCCCUUCUCUGAUCUGAUUCAUUUCCCAGCCUUCUGUCUGUCCAUUCUGCCCCUUCCUCAAGGAAUCUCACCCAUCCUGUAUCCUGUCUGUGGCCUGUAAUAAAAAAAUAUGGAUAGAAAAAUGAGAGGAUGUU
ensembl:lncRNA